rnacentral:rRNA from 1 species
UACGUAUGGGGCAAGCGUUGCCCGGAUUUAUUGGGCGUAAAGCGCGCGUAGGCGGCCCUGUAAGUCCGUUGUGAAAGUCAAAGGCUCAACCUUUGAAAGCCGAUGGAUACUGCAGGGCUAGAGUCCGGAAGAGGCGAGUGGAAUUCCUGGUGUAGCGGUGGAAUGCGCAGAUAUCAGGAGGAACACCAAUAGCGAAGGCAGCUCGCUGGGACGGUACUGACGCUAAGGCGCGAAAGCGUGGGGAGCGAACAGG